rnacentral:SRP_RNA from 1 species
GGAGGUUGGCNUUGGACGAGAUCCUCGCCAANCCGGUCAGGUCCGGAAGGAAGCAGCCGUAACGAGUCGUUCUCGGGUCAUUAGUUCAACCUCCCAC